GUGCUCUCUUCGGCAGUACAUAUACUAAAAUUGAAAUGAUGUAUAGAAGAUUCACAUGGUACCUAUGCAAGGAUAUCAUGCAAAUUCAUGAAGCAUUGCAUGUGUAA